UUUAAAGCUGAAGACUCUUACAAAUUAUGUAUUAUUUUUUCUCCUUCCAUUGGUCAUCUUUAAAUAUGGGUGUCUCAUUACUUUUUUUCCCCAACAGAACAAUUAAAAACCAAAACUUGGUGAUGAAUCACAGAAAAAUGAAACAAAUUCGAUCUGAGAUUGGGAAAGAAAGAGUCCCGAAUUUGUGUGUGAUUGAGAAUAUGAGCCAAAUGAAUAAAUAAAUAAAUGUAGAGGAAGAUCAGGAGGAAAACACAAUCAUUCGGUGGUGAUGGCCCAAGCGCCGUCAUCUACGGCGAUUCUCCGGUGCAUAUUGUUGGAGGAGAAUCGAUGGUUUUGGGAAAUGUUAUGGCGGUUAGAAAGCGGGAUGUCAUCGGAGAUCUGCCGGAUGAGUGUUUAGCUCAUGUGUUUCAGUUUUUUGGAGCUGAGAUUGGAAGAGAAAGAGAGAGAAAAAAUUGCAAAUGGAGAAAAGAAAAAAACAAAUAACGAAUGAUAGGAUGACACGUACGGUGUCUUUCAAUAUCAAAUAUGUCUUCCCAGAGACUCCGGAGACACGGGUCUCUCGUAAUAACACAAUAAACUUUUAUUUUUCUUUAUUUUUAUUCUUUUUAAAUAUAAAGAUACUUCCAUUUUAUGUCGGAUGGAUAUGCUCUAAGAGCACCCACAUUG
rnacentral:misc_RNA from 1 species